CGUCUCUUGUAGGAUUCUUGCUCGUCGUUCAUCAUUAUUCCGCGAGACUUUAGUGAAUAGUGAAGACGAGCAGGAGCUCGAGAAGAGAACGGAGCAGAGCAAAGUCAACGACCGGUGGGAUUUUUAAUCAAGCAUCGAUCAAAAAAUUUCAGAUCGAGUACCACCGUCGAAUAAACUCAAGCGACUUCGAGAGAGCUGAGUCGAGAUUCGCCGUGAUACCAGUGAUUAAUCAUCAGAGGACUGUCUGAUACACGCUUAAAAGUUGCUGGCGAAAGGGGAGAAAAACGGUAGCCGAUUCGACCGAUCGCCUAACCGACCUUCCGUACCCACGGCGCCAUUUGGAUUCUUCUUCUAUCUUCUUCGUUGUGAAAAGCGGGAAAGCACUGGUACACACUUGCCCGGAAAAGUAAUGAGGAGUCAUCGGCCAUAAUAAGAUGCAACGGAAGGAGAACGAGGAAUUUGCCUUGCUUACAGUUUGCAAUCAUGAUGAUGGCGCAACAGUGUUUCAGUUCACAUUUUGUCGCCGGUAGAACGAACGCCUGUUCGCUUUGCGAUUCGCACAUGGCCGCGCAAUAAGAAGAUGGGUUAAGACCCUUGCACAAUGCGAAGCGAUAGCGAUAGGAACAAGAGAAUAGCGAUAGCGAUAGACGAUAUUC